GGGAUUGCCCUAGUAACGGCGAGUGAAGCGGCAACAGCUCAAAUUUGAAAUCUGGCUCUUUUAGAGUCCGAGUUGUAAUUUGCAGAGGGCGCUUUGGCUUUGGCAGCGGUCCAAGUUCCUUGGAACAGGACGUCACAGAGGGUGAGAAUCCCGUACGUGGUCGCUGGCUAUUGCCGUGUAAAGCCCCUUCGACGAGUCGAGUUGUUUGGGAAUGCAGCUCUAAAUGGGAGGUACAUUUCUUCUAAAGCUAAAUAUUGGCCAGAGACCGAUAGCGCACAAGUAGAGUGAUCGAAAGAUGAAAAGCACUUUGGAAAGAGAGUCAAACAGCACGUGAAAUUGUUGAAAGGGAAGCGCUUGCAGCCAGACUUGCUUGCAGUUGCUCAUCCGGGCUUUUGCCCGGUGCACUCUUCUGCAGGCAGGCCAGCAUCAGUUUGGGCGGUAAGAUAAAGGUCUCUGUCACGUACCUCUCUUCGGGGAGGCCUUAUAGGGGAGACGACAUAUUACCAGCCUGGACUGAGGUCCGCGCAUCUGCUAGGAUGCUGGCGUAAUGGCUGUAAGCGGCCCGUCUUGAAACACGGACCAAGGAGUCUAACAUCUAUGCGAGUGUUUGGGUGUCAAGCCCGAGCGCGUAAUGAAAGUGAACGGAGGUAGGAACCCGCAAGGGUGCACUAUCGACCGAUCCUGAUGUCUUCGGAAGGAUUUGAGUAAGAGCAUGGCUGUUGGGACCCGAAAGAUGGUGAACUAUGCUUGAAUAGGGUGAAGCCAGAGGAAACUCUGGUGGAGGCUCGCAGCGGUUCUGACGUGCAAAUCGAUCGUCAAAUUUGGGCAUAGGGGCGAAAGACUAAU
rnacentral:rRNA from 1 species